rnacentral:rRNA from 1 species
GUGGGGAAUCUUCCGCAAUGGACGAAAGUCUGACGGAGCAACGCCGCGUGAGUGAUGAAGGUCUUCGGAUUGUAAAGCUCUGUUAAUCGGGACAAAAGAGCCUAGUGUGAAUAAUGCUAGGAAGUGACGGUACCGGAAUAGAAAGCCACGGCUAACUACGUGCCAGCAGCCGCGGUAAUACGUAGGUGGCAAGCGUUGUCCGGAAUUAUUGGGCGUAAAGCGCGCGCAGGCGGAUCUGCCAGUCUGUCUUAAAAGUUCGGGGCUUAACCCCGUGAUGGGAUGGAAACUACAGAUCUAGAGUAUCGGAGAGGAAAGUGGAAUUCCUAGUGUAGCGGUGAAAUGCGUAGAUAUUAGGAAGAACACCAGUGGCGAAGGCGACUUUCUGGACGAAAACUGACGCUGAGGCGCGAAAGCCAGGGGAGCGAACGGGAUUAGAAACCCGGGUAGUCC